rnacentral:rRNA from 1 species
AUGUCCUUUUGAAUUAAAUAAAAGGUCUAACCUGCCCACUGAAUAUUAAAGGGCUGCAGUAUUAUGACUGUACAAAGGUAGCAUAAUCAUUAGUCUUUUAAUUGAGGACUGGUAUGAAAGGUUGAACGAGAAAUUUCUGUCUCAAAAGUAUUUAAAAUGAAAUUUUCUUUAAUAUGAAAAGAUAUUAACGAAAUAAAGGGACAAGAAGACCCUUUUAAGCUUAAAUUAAGAAAAUUAAAGAUUAAUAUAUAAAUAAUUUAUUUUUAGUUGUGUUAAUUUUACUGGGGCGGUGGAUAAUAAACAUUAUUGAUAAUAAAUGAUUAUAGUUAAAAUAGCUAAGAGCGUGUAUUACGGAUUUAAAGACAAAGUUACUGAAGGGAUAACAGCGUAAUGUUUUUUAGAGUUCUUAUUAACAAAAAUGUUUGCGA